AUUAUCAACCCUCAAGCCCGGCUUGCCGUUGGGUCUCACCGUUGCAACACCCGGUGGACCCAAAAGAUAAUGGCAGAGUCCGUGGGGACCCUGGAUGCAGCGAGCUCUUUAGCACGCGUCUGGACGGUUUCCCGGCUCGGUCUCAACCAAAUAUUUUUCAGGUUGACCUCGGAUCAGGUAGGGAUACCCGCUGAACUUAA
rnacentral:misc_RNA from 1 species